ensembl:lncRNA
GCUCCACCGAAACCAGGAAGUAGGCGGGGCCUCAGUCCACAGGGCCGCACAGCCUACUUGGUAAAGACAGGAAAGAAAUACAGACCACGGUGACAGCCGUAACAAUGCAGAGUUGUAGAUGCAGAGAUGUAGAGUUGUAGAUGUAGAGUUGUAGAUGUAGAGUUGUAGAUGUAGAGAUGUAGAGUUGUAGAUGUAGAGAUGUAGAGAGUUGUAGAUUUGUAGAUGUAGAGUUGUAGAUGUAGAGAUAGAGUUGUAGAUGUAGAGAUAUAGAGUUGUAGAGUUGUAGAUGCAGAGUUGUAGAUGCAGAGUUGUAGAGAUGUAGAUGUAGAUGUAGAGUUGUAGAUGUAGAUGCAGAGUUGUAGAUGUAGAGAUGUAGAUGUAGAGUUGUAGAGAGUUGUAGAUGUAGAGAUGUAGAGUUGUAGAGAGUUGUAGAUGUAGUGAUGUAGAGAGUUAGAUGUAGAGUUGUAGAUGUAGAGUUGUAGAUGUAGAGUGUUGUAGAGUUGUAGAUGUAGAGUUGUAGAGUUGUAGAGAGUUGUAGAUGUAGAGAUGUAGAGAGUUGUAGAUGUAGAGUUGUAGAUGUAGAGAGUUGUAGAUGUAGAGAUGUAGAUGUAGAGUUGUAGAUGUAGAGAUGUAGAGAGUUGUAGAUGUAGAGAUGUAGAGAGUUGUAGAUGUAGAGAUGUAGAUGCAGAGUUGUAGAUGCAGAGAUGUAGAUGCAGAGAUGUAGAUGCAGAGUUGUAGCGAGUUGUAGAUGUAGAGAUAGAGUUGUAGAUGUAGAGAUGUAGAGAGUUGUAGAUGUAGAGAUGUAGAUGUAGAGUUGUAGAUGUAGAGAUGUAGAGAGUUGUAGAUGUAGAGAUGUAGAUGCAGAGUUGUAGAUGCAGAGAUGUAGAUGCAGAGUUGUAGCGAGUUGUAGAUGUAGAGAUAUAGAGUUGUAGAUGUAGAGUUGUAGAUGCAGAGUUGUAGAGUUGUAGAUGUAGAGUUGUAGAUGCAGAGUUGUAGAUGCAGAGUUGUAGAUGCAGAGUUGUAGAGAUGUAGAUGUAGAUGUAGAGUUGUAGAUGUAGAGAUAGAGUUGUAGAUGUAGAGUUGUAGAUGUAGAGAUAGAGUUGUAGAUGUAGAGUUGUAGAUGUAGAGAUAUAGAGUUGUAGAUGUAGAGUUGUAGAUGCAGAGUUGUAGAGUUGUAGAUGCAGAGUUGUAGAGUUGUAGAUGUAGAGAUGCAGAGUUGUAGAUGUAGAGAUGCAGAGUUGUAGAUGCAGAGUUGUAGAGUUGUAGAUGCAGAGAUGUAGAUGCAGAGUUAUAGAGUUGUAGAUGUAGAGAUGUAGAGAGUUGUAGAUGUAGAGAUGUAGAUGUAGAGUUGUAGAUGUAGAGAUGUAGAGAGUUGUAGAUGUAGAGAUGUAGAUGCAGAGUUGUAGAUGCAGAGAUGUAGAUGCAGAGUUGUAGCGAGUUGUAGAUGUAGAGAUAUAGAGUUGUAGAUGUAGAGUUGUAGAUGCAGAGUUGUAGAGUUGUAGAUGUAGAGUUGUAGAUGCAGAGUUGUAGAUGCAGAGUUGUAGAUGCAGAGUUGUAGAUGUAGAUAUAUAGAGUUGUAGAUGUAGAGUUGUAGAUGCAGAGUUGUAGAGUUGUAGAUGCAGAGUUGUAGAGUUGUAGAUGUAGAGAUGCAGAGUUGUAGAUGUAGAGAUGCAGAGUUGUAGAUGCAGAGUUGUAGAGUUGUAGAUGCAGAGAUGUAGAUGCAGAGUUGUAGAUACGAGAUGUAGAUGCAGAGAUGUAGAUGCAGAGUUGUAGAGAGUUGUAGAUGUAGAGAUAGAGUUGUAGAUGUAGAGAUAUAGAGUUGUAGAUGUAGAGUUGUAGAUGCAGAGUUGUAGAUGCAGAGUUGUAGAGAUGUAGAUGUAGAGUUCUAGAUGUAGAGUUGUAGAUGUAGAGAUAUAGAGAGUUGUAGAUGUAGAGUUGUAGAGAUGUAGACUUGUAGAUGUAGAGUUGUAGAUGUAGAGAUGUAUAUGUAGAGAUGUAGAGAGUUGUAGAGUUGUAGAUUUGUAGAUGUAGAGUUGUAGAUGUAGAGAUGUAGAUGCAGAGUUGUAGAUGCAGAGAUGUAGAUGCAGAGAUGUAGAUGCAGAGUUGUAGAGAGUUGUAGAUGUAGAGAUAGAGUUGUAGAUGUAGAGAUAUAGAGAUGUAGUUGUAGAGUUGUAGAUGUAGAUGCAGAGUUGUAGAUGUAGAGAUGUAGAUGUAGAGUUGUAGAGAGUUGUAGAUGUAGAGAUGUAGAGUUGUAGAUGUAGAGAUGUAGAGUUGUAGAGAGUUGUAGAUGUAGUGAUGUAGAGAGUUGUAGAUGUAGAGAGUUGUAGAUGUAGAGAUGUAGAGAGUUGUAGAUGUAGAGUUGUAGAGAGUUGUAGAUUUAGAGUUGUAGAUGUGGAGAGUUGUAGAUGCAGAGAGUUGUAGAUGUAGAGAGUUGUAGAUGCAGAUAUGUAGAUGCAGAGUUGUAGAUGCAGAGUUGUAGAUGCAGAGAUGUAGAGUUGUAGAUGUAGAGUGUUGUAGAGUUGUAGAUGUAGAGAUGUAGAUGCAGAGUUGUAUAUGCAGAGAUGUAGAGAUGUAGAGUUGUAGAUGCAGAGUUGUAGAUGUAGAGAUGUAGAUGUAGAGUGUUGUAGAGUUGUAGAUGUAGAGUUGUCGAUGUAGAGAUGUAGAUGCAGAGAUGUAGAUGUAGAGUUGUAGAUGUAGAGAGUUGUAGAUGUAGAGAGUUGUAGAUGCAGAGUUGUAGAUGCAGAGUUGUAGAUGCAGAGAUGUAGAUGCAGAGAUGUAGAUGCAGAGUUGUAGAGAGUUGUAGAUGUAGUGAUGUAGAGAGUUGUAGAUGUAGAGUUGUAGAUGCAGAGAUGUAGAUGCAGAGUUGUAGAUGCAGAGAUGUAGAGUGUUGUAGAGUUGUAGAUGUAGAGAGUUGUAGAUGUAGAGAUGUAGAUGCAGAGUUGUAGAUGUAGAGUUGUAGAUGUAGAGAUAGAGUUGUAGAUGUAGAGUUGUAGAUGUAGAGAUAUAGAGUUGUAGAUGCAGAGUUGUAGAUGCAGAGUUGUAGAGAUGCAGAGUUGUAGAUGUAGAGAUGUAGAUGCAGAGAUGUAGAUGCAGAGUUGUAGAGAGUUGUAGAUGUAGAGUUGUAGAUGUAGAGAUAGAGUUGUAGAUGUAGAGAUAUAGAGUUGUAGAUGUAGAGUUGUAGAUGCAGAGUUGUAGAGAUGCAGAGUUGUAGAUGCAGAGUUGUAGAGUUGAAGAUGCAGAGUUGUAGAUGUAGAGAUGUAGAUGUAGAGUUGAAGAUGCAGAGUUGUAGAUGUAGAGAUGUAGAUGUAGAGUUGUAGAGAGUUGUAGAUGUAGAGAUGUAGAGUUGUAGAUGUAGAGAUGUAGAGUUGUAGAGAGUUGUAGAUGUAGUGAUGUAGAGAGUUGUAGAUGUAGAGAGUUGUAGAUGUAGAGUUGUAGAGAGUUGUAGAGUUGUAGAUUUGUAGAUGUAGAGUUGUAGAUGUAGAGAGUUGUAGAUGUAGAGUUGUAGAUGUAGAGUUGUAGAUGUAGAGAGUUGUAGAUGCAGAGUUGUAGAUGUAGAGUUGUAGAUGCAGAGUUGUAGAUGUAGAGUUGUAGAUGCAGAGAUGUAGAGUUGUAGAUGCAGAGUUGUAGAUGUAGAGAUGCAGAUGCAGAGUUGUAGA